AGCUAAUUAAGCUUUAGACAAGCAUAUACCUUGAAAGUAUAAAAUAAUGGUUAAAUUCCAUUAUUAGCUU
rnacentral:tRNA from 1 species